rnacentral:rRNA from 1 species
GAUGAACGCUGGCGGCGUGCCUAAUACAUGCAAGUCGAGCGAACAGACGAGGAGCUUGCUCCUCUGACGUUAGCGGCGGACGGGUGAGUAACACGUGGAUAACCUACCUAUAAGACUGGGAUAACUUCGGGAAACCGGAGCUAAUACCGGAUAAUAUAUUGAACCGCAUGGUUCAAUAGUGAAAGACGGUUUUGCUGUCACUUAUAGAUGGAUCCGCGCCGCAUUAGCUAGUUGGUAAGGUAACGGCUUACCAAGGCAACGAUGCGUAGACGACCUGAGAGGGUGAUAGGCCACACUGGAACUGAGACACGGUCCAGACUCCUACGGGAGGCAGCAGUAGGGAAUCUGACGCAAUGGGCGAAAGCCUGGCGGAGCAACGCCGCGUGAGUGAUGAAGGUCUUCGGAUCGUAAAACUCUGUUAUUAGGGAAGAACAAAUGUGUAAGUAACUAUGCACGUCUUGACGGUACCUAAUCAGAAAGCCACGGCUAACUACGUG